GCCCGCCUAGCUCAAUCGGAUAGAGCGUCAGACUUUUAAGAGCGCUCAAGCGGGCUUUGAAAUAGGAUAUCUGAAGGCUGCGAGUUCGACCCUCGCGGUGGGCU